AUGUUGUUCUCCCUCAAGCACUGCUUCUUCUCAACCGCAAGUAGAGAUGAGCCGUUUCUAAACCUUGUCAUGGAGUAUGUCCUAAAGAUACUCUACCGUAUGCUUAAGAACUACAGUAAUGCCAAACAGGGGAUGCCACUUAUCUACGUCAAGCUUUACACCUAUCAGGGGGCUUGUGUAGGUUCAUACUGUUCCUGGAGUCUGCCACGGGGAUGUGAAGCGACAAAAUGUUUGGUCUUGCUGUUUGUGGCCAUCACACUGCACACCAUCAGGCAAAAUAAGGCAACGAAGGUGUACAAGUAUACCACAAGGUCAAUGCUAUAUGUGUAUGUAUGUAUGGAUAGGUGCUACUGA
rnacentral:rRNA from 1 species